rnacentral:lncRNA from 1 species
CAGGGAUAUCUGAGAGAGCCCUGUCAAGAUCAAAGCUGUCUGCUCCUCCUACUAGCAGCCCGGGGACAUCUUAUGACUUUGUUUCUUCUUCACAUCUCAAUGGAACAGGAGCUGAUGCUGGCCUGGGCAAGUGCCCAGUGAAUGGUUGGGGAACAGUGGCCUGCCCUGUGAAUGCUGGAGAAGGUGCUGAAAAGCGAGUAAGCAACUGUCCCCUACCAGCUCCAGCCCUGAGACACUAGAGAACAGAAAAACUAUAGCACCAGGUGGCCCUUACUGCUUUACACCGUGGGUCUGGGAGCCCGGAAGGCUAUCUUCCUCCUUGUUCAAGCUUCCACAGAAAUCCCCCACAAACCACGAUAAAGCCAUCGCAGUGGCACACGGCAGCCUAAUUGGCGUUAAGGGAUAUUUAUGUUGGAAGGACUAAGUUAAAGCCCCUAAUUGGUCAGAGACACUUGAGUAAUGGGACCCACAGAGUCCCAUUAGUAUCGCAUUGACGCG